rnacentral:rRNA from 1 species
UGAGGAAUUUUCCGCAAUGGGCGAAAGCCUGACGGAGCGACGUCGUGUGGGUGAUGAAGGUUUUCGGAUCUUAAAACCCUGUCAGCAGGAACGAUAUUGACGGUACCUGCAGAGGAAGCACCGGCUAACUACGUGCCAGCAGCCGCGGUAAUACGUAGGGUGCAAACGUUGUCCGGAAUCAUUGGGCGUAAAGCGCUUGUAGGCGGUUUCGUAAGUCAGUUGUAAAAUCCCCGGGCUCAACCCGGGUUCGCAAUUGAUACUGCGGAGCUAGAGAGAUGUAGAGGAAAGCGGAACUACCGGUGUAGCGGUGAAAUGCGUAGAUAUCGGUAGGAACACCAGUGGCGAAGGCGGCUUUCUGGACAUUUUCUGACGCUGAGAAGCGAAAGUUAAGGGAGCAAACGGG